rnacentral:rRNA from 1 species
UACGUAGGGAGCAAGCGUUGUCCGGAAUCAUUGGGCGUAAAGAGCGUGUAGGCGGCUCGGUAAGUCCGCUGUGAAAGUCCGGGGCUCAACCCUGGAAAGCCGGUGGAAACUGUCGAGCUCGAGUCCGGAAGAGGCGAGUGGAAUUCCUGGUGUAGCGGUGAAAUGCGCAGAUAUCAGGAGGAACACCAAUGGCGAAGGCAGCUCGCUGGGACGGUACUGACGCUGAGACGCGAAAGCGUGGGGAGCAAACAGG